rnacentral:sRNA from 1 species
AUUUUGAAUUGGUCAGCAUCCGCCUCAAAAAUCAUGUAUGUUCUACCAUUAGAGAAGUCCCAUGUCUUUUCUCAGUCAGUUAUUGCUUCUGUGGAAACUGUCAUUGUCAUGGCAGCUCCUUUCUUCUUGAAACUGUCUCCCACCUGAACUGUUCUGUUACUGUUCACCUCUUUGAUACCUCCUCUCUUUGUCUUUUAGUUCUUACCAUCAGAAUCUUGGUGUGACAUCAAUAUCCGUAUUUCCAGCUCUGGCCACUGUUCUGAGUGUCAGACUCACAUUUCCAAGAGACAAGGAGAAGGCCUUAGGAUCUACUGGGGGAGUCCGGAGGAGCAGUCCCUUCUGUCCCGCUGGAACCCAUGGUCCACUGAAGUUCCUUAUGCUACUUUCACUGAGCAUCCUAUGAAAUACACCAGUGAGAAAUUCCUUGAAAUUUGCAAGUAUGCAGAGAGUACUGCUGGGAAGGAUGAGUACUGAACCCAGAACUGAUGAAUAGCAGUGAAUGCAUUAUGAGUGCCCUACAACCAUCAUGAUCUACAGACCA